GGUUUUAUUUUGGGGAGGGGUCCUGGGUCAGAGCCUGCAACAGAAAUGGGGGAGGGGGUCAGGGGGGGUCCCCAAAUCUCAGGCAGGCCCCAAAUUUGGGGGUCCCCCAAUUUCAGAGUCCCCCCAAAUUUCAGGGUCCACAAUUUUGGGGUUCCCAAUUUCGGGGUCCCAAUUUCAGGGUCCCCAAUUUCAAAGUCCCCCCAAUUUUGGGGUCCCCACAUUUCAGGCUCCCAAAUCUCGAGGUCCCCCCAAUUUUGGGGUCCCCCCAAAUUCGGGGGUCCCCCCGUACUCACGUCACGGCCCUGAAGGAUCUUUUCUCCACGUAUUUCACUUUGUAGCGCCGCUUGAACCUGAGAAAAACGACCAAAAAUGGGUGAAAAAAGGCAAAUUUGGGGUUUUCUGGGAAUUUUGGGGUUUACACCCUGAAUUUUGGGCGAUUUCCUGUGUCCAUUUUGAGCUUUUCUGUGUGAAUUUUGGGUUUUUCUGUGUGAAUUUUGGGGUUUUUUCCCCAAAUUUAGUUUUUUCUCUGGGUAAAUUUUGAGGUUCUCUGUGUAAAUUUUGGGAUUUUCCCUGUAAACUUUGGUAUUUUCUGUGUAAAUUCUGGGUUUUUCUGUGUGAAUUUUGGGGUUUACACCCUGAAUUUUGGGCGAUUUUCUGUGUAAGUUUUGGGUUUUUUCCCCACACUGAAUUUUUUCUCUGGGUGAACGUUGGAUUUUUCCAUGGAAGUUUUCUGAUUUCCCCCAGAUUUGGUUUUUGUGGCUCACCUGGCCCUGAGCCGCGGCUCCAGGAUGUUCCUCCUCUGCAGGCUCCGGAAGCGAUCCCGCAGCACGCUCCCCUCGGGCUGCCAAAUGCAGAAAUUGCAGCUUUUACCAUUUUUUAGCAACUUUCCAGCAUUUUUUAACAUUUUUCCAGCAUUUUUAGCAAUUUUUCCAGCAUUUUUUUAGCCAUUUCUUAGCAAUUUUUUACAUUUUUGAAGCAUUUUUUAGCAUUUUUUUACUAUUUUUAAAGCAUUUUUGGCAAUGUUCUAGCAUUUUUAAGUUGUUAGCAUUUUUCAGCAUUUUUUGUGAUUUUUUUAGCAUUUGUAAAGCAUUUUUUUAGCAUUUUUAAGCAUUUUGUAUCACUUUAUUAAGCAUUUUUAAGCAUCUUUCUACCACUUUUAAAGCAAUUUUAAAAGCAUUUCCUAAACAUUUUUUAGCAUUUUUAGCAAUUUUUAAA
rnacentral:lncRNA from 1 species